CUCCUGUAUAAAAGGAGAAUCGGUUAGCACUCCCUUUAGCACUCCCGCCGUUAGCACUCCCGCCUCUGGGCCUCAACACACACACGGUUAAGGCACAGCCGCCUACUUCGCGGCACUUAACCACAUUUGUUU